GGUUUCAUUGACCCAGGAGUCCCCCUAGAUGUUUUUCCUACAAAAACUGCUUUAACUCUAGUGCCAUCUCCAAAAUAAAAGGGAAAAAAAGCAAAGCACUGAGCAAAUCUUUUGUGGACUGGCUAAAAGCCACUCAUCUCCUCCUGCAAUCCCGUCUUGAAGCAGCAUUGGUGAUAGCCAAUAAAUACACCUUGCUGCAGUUCCUGCUCACUUUUUCUAGGGCUUUAAUGUAUUACCUUGUUCAAGCUUCUUUGUUUUGCCUCCCCCAAAAAGGUACGACAGGGUGCAAAUCUGGACAUCUGCCUUUUGGUGCAGUUGCUGAGGCUGUGGAAGAUGUGCAGUGCUGCAGGUGAAGCAUCCCCUGACGCAGCUUGGCAGGCUGCUAAGAAAGGCUGAGCCUCACCCCAGGAGAAUGGUAAUACACUGAAGGAACCUGUGACCAAACACUUGAAGCCUGACAACAUGAGUAUUGGACAGAGCUCAACAGCUGCCAGAUGAAUAUUCCAGUUUCUUGAUCAAUGCUAACUGGCAAGGAAGUGUGCUAGUCGAGCAAUGACCAAAGGCUGCCGCUUAGCGAUGGAGCUCAGGAGCCGUGCUGGGAUCGCUGGGGCACCCAGAUCCACCUGUACAAGGUAGAAGAAAGGUGUAUCAACAGAGGCCUCAUUCUCCAUUAAUGUUUCAUAGUACAGAAGAACAGCUUCAGUUCCAACAUUGCCAUUAGAUGGUUUUGUGUGACCUUUCAGUGCAGUGGAAGCAUCUUGAACAAGAUGGGAAUUAUCACUUACUUCAAGACAUAAAAGAUCUUGGACUCAUGGCCUUCUUCAGCCUGUACAGUUGGUGGUCUUGGAGUUUGCAACUUCCAAAAAAUCUCUGCUGGGACUUCAUCAGAUGAAUCAGAUUUGGAUUCUUCUACUGGAUCUUCUGUUGGCACCUCUUCUCCAUCACCCAAGCUGUCCAGAGAAAAGCUUCUUUCAGCCUCUCCCAGUCUCCUGUGUGAUGCAUACGAUGUCACUAAAGAUGAAACAUGGUGUUCAGAUCUGCUUUUGUAAAGCUUAGCUGGCUGGUGGCAGGCCUUUAAUUUCUGAAACUGGCUUUUAUUUUGCUUUUUGGCUUUAUUUUCCUUUUCUACCAGAGAGUCUUGUGACAUUUGACUGUCAUCACUCUCAGAAUCUUCUGGGUUGGCAAGACAUUUAUUUCUGUGGAAAUCAUCUUGCUUCAGCUUCUCUGUGAAAGCUUUUGCAUAAGCGCAGGAGAGUGAAUCUACAGAGUAAGUACUGUCAGUAUCAGAAAUCUCAUUUUCCUCAUCUUCUUGCCAGUUCCCGAGCACGUCUGUGGCUGUUUUAGACAUUCCAGCACUUAACAGCUCAGCACUAUGCCAUUUUUUUUCAACAGAGAGUGGUGCCUGUGUGUUCAUCUUAGUGAGAUUUCCAACUGAUGUUGCCACCAUCAGAAAUUCUUGAUGUUCCACCGAUGAGUUCUCAUUACUUUGUAAGUCUGAGGGUGGCACUCUCUCCAAAUUCUUAGCUGCUUGAUUUGGAUGUGCAGAUGGUAGGUUUCCAUACACUACUGCUUUCUUGAUUUUGUUAACAAAAUUUUCUGGGGAAGGACUAUGGCCUUUUGUAUUGAUAUCCAUUCUCGUCUUUUUAUUGGACACCUGAGCUCUGUUUUGUUCUAGACAGCUAUUUGCAGGCUGACUUAAAUCUCCUAGCACCUUUGUUUUUGUCAUUCUUGUCCCUGUAAUAAAGGUUUCAGGCUCAUUUUUCUCCUUACAACGAUCAGGAGAGGAGCCUUUAGAGGUCUGUUUUUGACAUCCAGCCUCCUCUGGGCCGUCAUUCAGCUUCUCCAUUUUUUGAUCAUUUUUAUUGAUAUGAGCCAUGACAGCUGAGUGAUUACAGUCCCUUUCUGCCCCUUUUUUAUUUCCAAAUGAAGAUACUUUUUGUUUCUCAGAUAGCUGCAUCUGAACUAAAAAGGAGAUACCUUUUUCAUCAUUGAAGUCAUCACUCCUGGAAAAGUCUUUAAAUUUUCUGUAACAGUAUUCCACGGAUGAAAUCUUCCCUGGUGUAUUGCCUUCGGAGCAUUGAUCAGUAUUUGGCGAGGUAGAUAACUUUGAGAUUGUUUCCCCAUUCAACAAACGGCUGUGGAAAUAAAGAAGAAAUAAAGCCCAAUACUUGCUUAAAUAACAUGCUUCAUGUUUCCAUAUUAGUAGCAUCUUGCAGUUAAAAGUAAUGACGUGAAACAACCACCUUAACAACGAAUUAAUACCUUGAAUGCUAAGUUGUACAGCUUGAUAUUUGGCUUGAGAAGGUUAAUCAACUUCAAAGUCCAAGGCAGAAUCACACUAGUAAAAGUAUUCUGAAGGAAUAAUUUGAUUAUAAUCACAAUAAUAAUGCAGAAACAAAUAUUUACCAGCAACACAAAGGCGGCAAGAACAAAGUUGAGCAAGCUCUGGCAAGCAAUCACAAUGAGGUAAAACUCGCAGAAAGGAUUGAUGGAGGAAAGAAAUAAACAGCAAGACCACGUCAGAGACCUAAGUAGGGAAUACACUGCAUAAAUCCAAGGAAAGCAGCAAACAGCUCCAGUGUGAUGUACAAUAUACUACGUGAUACCGCAAGUUUUAAGGAUUGUUUCAGUAAGCUAAAAGGCAUUCUGGAUUGCAGGUAGCCAUUGAAAAUACCAUGAAUUUAAAUAAUAUUUGACAUUCAGAGGAAUUGGGAGAUGUUGACUCACCUGGGUACCUGGGGCAGAUGGAUGUUACAGAAUGAAUGCUGACUGUGCAGUGAGUAACUCGAACCCAAUGACCUCCUCCUGUUCUGUAACUGGUGAUCCACAGAGGCCUGCCCUGCAAUAUUUUCAUUUGGGAUGUGGGAUUGUUUCACACGAACUUCACUGAGCCAGCAGUUAGCUUCCAGCUGCUCUAGGUUUUGCUUAGCUUCCAAUAACUUCUGCUUCUUGACUAUCCUUUCCAGCUGGAAUUUGACCUUUUUACGUCUUAUGUUUCUUUCAGCCUUUUUUAAGGAGCACCUUCGCAGGAGCUCCAGCUGCACCAGUCUCUUCUUGUUCUGCUGUAGCAGCGAAGGCAAGAUCUCCAGACCAAGGCUACUCUGUACCUCAGCCUCUGCGUACAACGUAGAUUCUGUUUGCACUGCAAAUUCUCUCUGCUGUUGCUGAAGGGCAGCUAGUCGGUUACUCUCAUUUAUAAGCCACUGUUGGUCUGCAAACAAUGAUUGAAAGAAAGUAAAAAGCAUAGAAAUAACAUUGUUCAUUAAUUUAAUUAGCCGAGAAUCCACUGAAGAACAGAAUUCCUAUGCAGAUAGAGCAAAUCUAUCUAUCUCUAUGUUAAUGAAGAAAAUAAAAUUUAAUGCACAUACUAAUGAGCCUUUGGUAAAUAAAUUCCUACUGUUUAGUGAAGAAAAUGCAAUAUUAAAAUGUAACUGACUCCUCAUCAAAGAGUUUGAGUGUUUUACAGCUGCUGUAAGACAAACACGGCUUUAUACACAUUUUUGCUCAUGUCCUUUCCUUUAAAAUUAACUUGAAUGGACCAAAAAAAAAAUCCACCUGCCAACUAUUUCCUCUCGUUUCUCUAUACAUGCUGAAAAUGAAGGAAAUUAAACUCAUGCUGAGGGACUUUGUGUUCAGCACAUAAGAAACUGGUGGUACGUUCAGUAAACUUGAAAGCUUGAUCUUCCAGCACUACAGUCAGGAUGUGCAUCAUAUCUGGGGCCUGCUGCCAGCCCUCAGGCUCGUGGAUAGGCAUGCAGCCUACUAAGUGGUUUGAAGAAAAGGCUACUAGGAAGCUUCCAAGUGGCUGCUUGCUGGGCAGUUCUGCUAGCCUCUCUACCCACCAGAUGGAAAUUUCUCAAGCAACACAAACAUUGUGCGGUAUCUGGGCUGAGGUGAAGCAACAACCACAAAAUUUUCUACCUGUUGUGAUUAUGGCUGCUCCAGAGCAUUUCAUAAAUGCCUGGUGGGAACCCAUGUACCGUGAAUACGAGCAGGUUAGCAUGCAACAUGUUUGAAAUUAUUCAAAAACACUCACAGCAAGGAUACAAGUGAAAUCAACACAACCAUGAGUUGUCAGUAUGAACACAUACAAACUCAUAUCACCCAUCAAUGCAUAUUUUUUCAUAAAAUCAGGAGUCUACUCCCAAAGAGAAUUGGAUUCUCCCUUUUUUAUGAGCAUUCCCCAAAUUUCACAAAUGCUUAAUAUUCUUUUCUAACAAACCAAUUGAUUAGCCUUAUUUAAUAAGAGUAUAUUACAUUUGUUUACAUUUUUAAUCAUCUCUAAAUCUUUGGAGAAUCUCAUCUUCGCAGUCAGUAGAGAAGCAGUAGAGAAGAAUAGGAUCUGCUCUGUUAAAAACUUUGUUCACGUUUAUGCUGUUAUGAAAAUAUACAUAUUCAGCUGCACAGAGGAACAAAUAUAUCAUUAGCUGAAAAAGCAAUAUAGAAAACCACACUCAAAGUUCCUUCAUACAUGAGCAUUUCUCAAAGGACAGACGCUUUUCAAAGCACUUUAAUCUUCCUAGCAACACUAUUUUGGCUGGGCUUAGCUUCAAUGUGCUUAGCUGCAGCCCCUCACCGAGGAGCCACCUUUAGUCACUUAUUCAUGGAGUUAGGAAAUAAGAGUUUGACAUGGUCACGAGCCCUGUGCAUGACAGCUGAACUACGUGAAAGGAUUUGGGGGCUGUGGAUGCUUCCCUAAUGGAAGAAAAAUAACCAUCUUUAUAAGCAUUGCCAGCAUCAGUUGUUUGGUAACUACAAAUCUCAUUAAACAUUCUUCGUUAGUGAUUCCCACCUGAGGGAGUCUCCAGUUUACAUCCUCAGCUAGACACACAGAAGUAGUGAUACUUUAUAGAUAAGUAUGUUUACCCUAUGGAUAAAAUGAAAGCAUUUUAGUCAUAAUCUGUUAUUACUUCUUAGUAACAUCUUAACCUUCACUUACAGAAGACUUUCCUCAACUCUUUAUUCCCAGAUCUGCCCUCUUCAGCAUGUUUCUAGGAAGCAGAAUAUUUGGCAGAUGAGUGCGCCCCUGUAAUAGACCUGAAAGUUCUAAGACACUAAUUAAUGUCUACUCACAAACUUGCCUCUGUCAGAAGCUGAGAAAAAGAGGGUGCAAAUAAGGCAAAAGAACUCUGGUGGGCUGCCAAACAAAGAAUUAUAUUUGGCUGCAAAAACUGCUUGUCUGGCUAAGCUUAAUACGAGCACAGCUGAACAGUGGAACUAGACAGGAGCAGAGAAUUUGUCCUGUUUCAAGAAAUACGUUUUGGAGAAGCUCUGUACUGCCUACACACACUAGGUCUCCUUCUGAUACUCCCCAUCUCCACAAUUUUCCUUUUAAUUUCUUCCUUGCAUUUGGCAUAAUUUAAAGAUGGUAAACUGCCUAAGUUUGGCUCUGGGAAGCCUCUAAACACUCAGAAAUUAUUCCAGGAACCAGUAGCAGGCUUUAUGAAAUGGAAAUGGUGCCUUUGCAAUAGACGUACUCUUCUUAUCAAGAAACUUGGAUCAGACCAUUCAAUAGAAGACAACAGGAAGAACACUCUAUCUACCCUAUUUCAAUGCUCAAAAGCUUCUUAAGAUUUAAAAUGUUACCAAAUCUCCCUACAAACUCUGUUCAGCUCCACCAGGACAAGUCUUGCUAAAUAUGUUUUCGUGCAAAGCAGCAUCACUCAGGGCCAGAAGUCAUUGAUGCUGACAAACACCUCUCCAAAUAUGCUGUGGCUCCACCUUUUGCCAUAGCUAUUUACUAUUCAGAAUCUGAUCACCGAUCUAAUCUCUAGCUUGAAUAACACUAUAAGAACUUGCUAGAAAUAACUCCUAUUUGAACCAAAGCAUGCCUUUUUUUUUUUUUUUUUUAAUACAGUUUUGUUAAAAAUAAAAACAGCAAUGGAGAAUGCAAUACCACAUAUCAAUCAUCUUUAGGGUAAAUAAAACUUGCAUCUUACUUUUAAUCUUAAUUUGUCUCACUUCUGUUUCUACCACAGAAUUUCUUCCUACAUUUUUAUUUCAUACUACCAAUGCUUUGUUCCUACUUAUAGACUUGGAUGAAAUCACCUCCAGCUUUACUGUGAUCAAGGCAAACAGACUGAGCUCUCGGGAUCAUUUAUUAUACUAUGCUACCCCAUAUAGGUUUGUUAGAGUCAUCAUAAUAUACCUCUAAACUUGUAUGUCCUCUGCAACUGUGAACAUCACAACUAUUCUCAACACUGCAAACAGUAAUCAUGCCAGUGAUUGGACAAGAAUCAUCUUAGUACGUUUUCUAAUCCCAAUCAGGCUGUUUAUGUACCUAAGAAUUAGUUUCUCUUCUGUCGAAUCUCCCAUAAACAUGUAUCGCAACACAUCUUCAUAGGUUAAUCAGGUCUUUCCCUAGCUGACAGUAACUAAUGAGAGGCCACAGAACAAAGUGAAAGACACAGGAAAAUGAGAAAACUGAGAAAAAGAGGCUGUCAGAGGUUUGCAGAGUGAAUUAGGCUCCCAUUGAGAUGAACAAAAAAACCCAGUAUAAACAAAAUCUGAAUUCAAAGUGAUUCUUGAAAGCUAGAGAGCUACCUUUUCACUGAACUUUUGAAAGAUCACUUAUCUUCUGAUGUUUUGGGAUUUCAAAAUGUUUCAAGCUUUUCAUGGUAUAGUUAGCAUAGAGCUGAGGUUUGUGUCAAACCAACAUCAUCAAUACUUUACCUAGGAACAAAUUUUUUACUCAGAGGGUGGUGAGGCACUACAACAAGUUGCCCAGACAGCUGUGGGUGCCCCAUCCUUGAGGCAU